CAGGCCUUGACAUCCAAUGAACUUUCCAGAGAUGGAUUGGUGCCUUCGGGAGCAUUGAGACAGGUGCUGCAUGGCUGUCGUCAGCUCGUGUCGUGAGAUGUUGGGUUAAGUCCCGUAACGAGCGCAACCCUUGUCCUUAGUUACCAGCACGUAAUGGUGGGCACUCUAAGGAGACUGCCGGUGACAAACCGGAGGAAGGUGGGGAUGACGCCAAGUCAUCAUGGCCCUUACGGCCUGGGCUACACACGUGCUACCAUGGUCGGUACAAAGGGUUGCCAAGCCGCGAGGUGGAGCUAAUCCCAUAAAACCGAUCGUAGUCCGGAUCGCAGUCUGCAACUCGACCCCGUGAAGUCGGAGUCGCUAGUAAUCGCAGAUCAGCAGUGCUGCGGUGAAUACGUUCCC
rnacentral:rRNA from 1 species